rnacentral:lncRNA from 1 species
GCUGCAGGCGCUUUUGCAGGGGUGCAGGAGCUUGCUUUUCAGAAAAGGGAGUUGCAACUGCCAUUGGCGAGUUGCCUGCAAGUUGCAACUCCCAUUGGCGGGUUGCACAAGAAGAAAUAGCCAUCACCAAUGGCGAUUUGUUGGCUAUAAAUACCAGUGCUCACGUUUUGAACUUGAACUCACGUUUUCAGCUCCAAAUUAGAAAUAAAUCUUUCAUUGCUCACGGCU